rnacentral:rRNA from 1 species
CCUACGGGUGGCAGCAGUGAGGAAUAUUGGUCAAUGGACGCAAGGCUGAACCAGCCACGCCGCGUGCAGGAAGACUGCCCUAUGAGUUGUAAACUUCUUUUGUAAGAGGGUAAAAUGAGGUACGUGUAUCUGUCUGUAUGUACGUUAUGAAUAAGGAUCGGCUAACUCCGUGCCAGCAGCCGCGGUAAUACGGAGGAUACAAGCUUUAUCCGGAUUUAUUGGGUUUAAAGGGAGCGUAGGUGGUCUGAUAAGUUAGAUGUGAAAGCGCGAGGCUCAACUGUGGAAUUGCAUUUGAUACUGUGAGCCUUGAGGGCAGUAGAGGUAGGCGGAAGUCAUGGUGUAGCGGUGAAAUGCUUAGAUAUCAGGCAGAACACCGAUUGCGAAGGCAGCUUACCAAGCUGCUACUGACGUUGAGGCUCGAAAGCGUGGGGAGCAAACAGGAUUAGAUACCCUAGUAGUC